GACGAACGCUGGCGGCGUGCCUAAUACUUGCAAGUCGAGCGCAGGAAGCUGACGGAACUCUUCGGAGAGAAGGCAGUGGAAUGAGCGGCGGACGGGUGAGUAACACGUAAGGAACCUGCCUCAAGGAUUGGGAUAACUCCGAGAAAUCGGAGCUAAUACCGGAUAGUUCAACGGACCGCAUGGUCCGCUGAUGAAAGGCGCUUCGGCGUCACCUUGAGAUGGCCUUGCGGUGCAUUAGCUAGUUGGGGGGGUAACGGCCCACCAAGGCGACGGUGCGUAGCCGACCUGAGAGGGUGAUCGGCCACACUGGGACUGAGACACGGCCCAGAAUCCUACGGGAGGCAGCAGUAGGGAAUCUUCCACAAUGGACGAAAGUCUGAUGGAGCAACGCCGCGUGAGUGAUGAAGGUUUUCGGAUCGUAAAACUCUGUUGUAAGGGAAGAACACGUACGAGAGGUAAUGCUCGUACCUUGACGGUACCUUACGAGAAAGCCACGGCUAACUACGUGCCAGCCGCCGCCGUAA
rnacentral:rRNA from 1 species